CUGGGAGGACCAUCUCCUAAGGCUAAAUACUCUCUAGUGACCGAUAGUGAACCAGUACCGUGAGGGAAAGGUGAAAAGCACCCCGGAAGGGGAGUGAAAUAGAACCUGAAACCGUGUGCUUACAAGUAGUCAGAGCCCGUUAAUGGGUGAUGGCGUGCCUUUUGUAGAAUGAACCGGCGAGUUACGAUUUGAUGCAAGGUUAAGCAGUAAAUGUGGAGCCGUAGCGAAAGCGAGUCUGAAUAGGGCGUUUAGUAUUUGGUCGUAGACCCGAAACCAGGUGAUCUACCCUUGGUCAGGUUGAAGUUCAGGUAACACUGAAUGGAGGACCGAACCGACUUACGUUGAAAAGUGAGCGGAUGAACUGAGGGUAGCGGAGAAAUUCCAAUCGAACCUGGAGAUAGCUGGUUCUCUCCGAAAUAGCUUUAGGGCUAGCCUCAAGUGAUGAUUAUUGGAGGUAGAGCACUGUUUGGACGAGGGGCCCCUCUCGGGUUACCGAAUUCAGACAAACUCCGAAUGCCAAUUAAUUUAACUUGGGAGUCAGAACAUGGGUGAUAAGGUCCGUGUUCGAAAGGGAAACAGCCCAGACCACCAGCUAAGGUCCCAAAAUAUAUGUUAAGUGGAAAAGGAUGUGGCGUUGCCCAGACAACUAGGAUGUUGGCUUAGAAGCAGCCAUCAUUUAAAGAGUGCGUAAUAGCUCACUAGUCGAGUGACACUGCGCCGAAAAUGUACCGGGGCUAAACAUAUUACCGAAGCUGUGGAUUGUCCUUUGGACAAUGGUAGGAGAGCGUUCUAAGGGCGUUGAAGCAUGAUCGUAAGGACAUGUGGAGCGCUUAGAAGUGAGAAUGCCGGUGUGAGUAGCGAAAGACGGGUGAGAAUCCCGUCCACCGAUUGACUAAGGUUUCCAGAGGAAGGCUC
rnacentral:rRNA from 1 species